GAAAUUGUCCAUUUGCAUCUUGUGGUACCUCUUCCUUCUUCUUUUUUUACCUAAUUGGUAUCUGAACUUGUAUUCUGUCAUACAGGUUAGUACCUUCGCAUUAACACCAUUAGCUUGUGUUGGUGUGGUACUAAUAGCCAAGCUGAAUGGUCCCACGACGACUUGUGCAUCCAGUAUUAAGUUGAACCUUAAAUUAGGCAGAUGUCCUUGAAUGCUCGCUUGAGUAUCUGCUUUGUAUUUCUCCAAAGCCUCAUUGUUCUCCUUCUGUAUCUAUUCUUUCUCAACGAGGUGUUGCUUCCCAAGGGCUUCCAGUUGACGAACCCUCUCUUCCAACUCUUUUUCUCAGACCUCCAAUGAUUGGUACUUGGUCUCCGAGGUGGAGACAGAUUUUGUAAGCUCGAGAUUUUUACGGACAAUAGCUUCAUAUAAUUGGGGCGGAGUUGGUUAUGUGAUUGCCCGACAAAGAGAAUGAUCCUCUCAUAUGUUGUCCGCCUAGCCUCAUUCUCAUCACAAUCCCCUUGGAGGGCCCAGCUCAUAAGUCCGCACUUCGUUGCCAGCAUGGAAAAGGAACUCGCCAACUCCGGGAGAGUUGAUUUGUGAACACCCUAGGAAGAAGAAGAGGGGUAAGCAAGUUCUUUUAAUUCCUGGGAAAAUUCACUUUUUUGUUUCUGUUGAACAACAAAGGGAGAGAAAGGAUAUUGCCCCGCACCAAUGUGCUUCCACCACUUCCUCUUGUAUCUCAUAGUAUGCCACAUGGAAAAUAAGUAAAUAAUUUUUUAAAUAAAUAUAAAUUAAUAAAAGUAUAAAAAAAUUUUACAUCAAGAAUUAAAUAACCAUCUUUCCAGGUUCAUUUUAGAUGUGUUUUUUAAUUAAUUUUAUUAAUUUAUAAUUUUUUAGUUCUUUUACAUAUUUUUAUAAAUUUAUAAUUCCUUAAUUUUGUAUAAAUUUAUAUAUCACAUAUUAUAUAUUUUAUAUAUUUUUCAAAAUAUUAUACGCUUUUUAUAUAUCCUAAUUGUAUGUAUUUUUAUAUAAAUUUUUAUACAAUUUUAAUUUUAUAUUUGGAUAAUUAUUCAUCAUCCGUGGAAAUUGUUAACUCCAGAAGCGAGGUUGAGGUUUUUUCAUAUGUCAGUUGUAUUUAGAAAGUUAAUAAAUAUAUGAAUAUGACAUGUGGUAAAAUUUCAACCCGGGAGUUAAAAAGUCUCAUCCUAAUAUACCAAAUAUUUAUCUUUUAUAUUCUAUAUAAAUUUCAAAAUAAUAAUAACCUAAAAACUAAUAUUUUAUAAAAAAAAUAAAAUAUAUAAAUUUACUUAAAAACAUAUUAGAAAUGAAUCUAGACACAUGAUUGUCUAGAUUCAAACGUAUCUGUACAACAAAUUGUCCAAGUUCAUUCAUGAUGAGAAAAAAUAUAUUUUUAUUAAUUUAUAUAUUUUUAAAUAUUUUUUAUUUUUAUUUAUUUUUUCACGUAGCAUGCUAAGAGGCAACCAAAUGUCACCACAAGAUUGACUAUUAGUGCCACAUUAUCACAAACUAACAAUAUUAGUGAUGAGGUAUCAACCUAUGUGAUAGAAUACAACUUCAGGUAUCAACUAGGUGCAAAUGGAUAAGUUCAAGGGCAAAAUAUAUAUUAACCCAUAAAAUAAUGGGCUUAUUAUCAAAGCCUCAUAGAUAUAUAACAUAUUGUUAAUUUUGGUUAAUUGGUUAAUUCGAUUAAUUAAAUGGUUUCGAACCGAUUUAACUUAUAACCAAAAUUUCAAAAACAUUUAAUCGACCUCUAACCGAAUUAAAUUAAGUGACUAACCGAUUAACCGAACUAAUUCAAUUCGAUCAGUUAAUUCAGUUUUAACCAAAGUUUGCAUACCCUAGUGCUAAGUAAUCUAAAAACAAUAUUCCUAUUAUAAAAUUAAUAAUAAAAUAUUCUCCAAUCCAAACCGUUAAGAAUUAUGGAAUUUUUAAAUGUCUAUUGAAUUUUAGUUUAGUUUGCUAUUGCAACAAUCAGGACGACAUUGGUUCAAGUAUGCUUAAGCAUGUUUUUCUUCCGUUUUAAGGGUUGGAAAAUGGUAAUAGGUAGAAGUAGGCGUUAUAUAAAAAAAUGGAAUUGUAAACCGUAGUGAUAUCUAUUACUAAAGUGUUUUACAUAUAAAACCUAGAGAAAAAAAAACUGCACAUUGUGGGAUUCAAACCCUAAUCAUUAUGAUAUUUGAUCUUUUAAUUUUUUCCAUUUCAACCAAAGUCUUUUAUGUUAUUAUAUUUUUUAAAAAUAUUGUUAUAUGCAUUUUUUACCCACAUUGUUGGUGUCAUAAAAUCUAAUAUUAGUAAUGAUAGGCUACUUCAACUCAUGGGUUGCACCGAACACCCAAUUCAGUGCAAUACAUAAUGUAUAGUUUUAAUUUGAAAAGGAUUUUGAGAGAGCUUAAAGAAGAUAAUCCAAGUUGAUAAAAGAUUUCAACAACGAGGGAAACGAGGAGAAGGUGGUGGAGGGAAGUGUUGAUUUACCUAUGGUUGGCAAAGAACUGAAGCUAAGGAGUUAAGGGAGAAAAAGAAGAAAGGUAAAGAGAGAAAACUUGGUGAUGCUUAGGGUUUUUCUUGGGAAGAAUAAGAGAUCCCUAUUCUCUUGUGCUCUAGGGCUUAUACAGAGGGGCCACCCAUUGUCAUAUGGUACCACGUAACUGACAAUAUAGGGGGU
rnacentral:lncRNA from 1 species